rnacentral:lncRNA from 1 species
AUGUACAGGAAAGAGAAGACAGAUGACAGUAGCUGUCCUCCUUCAAUACUGAGGAAAAGGCCACCUGUGGACCAGGAUAUGGGGGAAAAGCGGAAAGCAGAGAGAAGGGUUCGAUUUCGUGAGCCAGAAGAAGUCAUUGAACAUGUUAUUUCCUGCUGUGACUACGUAGCGGUAAAUGACAGGUCAUCACCUGGAUUGCCUAAGCUCCUGGGGCUAUCAUUUUGUGUGAUACUGAUCCUGGUCGCCAGCCUCUUCUACACCAGCAUGAAGCAAGAUGCCAAAGUCCUGGAGGAGUUUCAAUCCCGACUUGUUAUCUUCUUUCUUCAAAUAAGACACAUUGCUCAUAAAUGCUGGACUUGGUUUACAAGGUAG